UCACGCCCAUCAGACAUGUGUCCACUCAUUUCUGUAACUCUCAGCUGAGAUCCAGGCUCUGCUGGAGCUGGGGUGUAGUCACCAUCCCCUCUGUACCCAGGAGGGAACCGAGGCUCCGAGCAGAGAGGUAGGGUGCCCAGGAGUCCCACCCUGAGGACUGAGUUGGUGUCCCACGCAGGUCUUUCCAUAGGCUCUUUCCAACCCACCACAUUGGUGACUAGUUUUCAAGCAUCAUUCCAAGGGAAGGCCUAAGAAGGGAAGCAUCUUCAUGUCGUGCACUCAGUGCAGGUGCGCUGGUGACAAGAUGACACGAGAGAGGAGAAGAGUGGCGUCCGGGCUUGCCUCCCAAGAUGCACUUCACCUACAUUGUAUCUGCAGCUUUCUCCCCACCCUUCCGGCUGCUCCCCAAGGAGGUUGCAUGCAGCCAGGCAGCCCCAGAGGAUGUUUUCUCAGACCUCCUGAGGGCCACAGGUGAGUGGCCGUGUAUAGUGACGCCCACCCCAUCCUCACUACUGCAAUCCCAGAACUGCAGGGCUUGGCAUUUUGACUCUGGAAGCAGAGAGCAGAGGGGCUUUGGUUUUUACAACACGGACUGCCACCCGGGAAACAGAUGUGACAGAGCUUUUCUUCUUUCUCAGUGGAUCAAGGUAUCCUUGUGUGUGUCAAAGCACAAACCGCAUGCACACUCACUUCCGGCCCACAGAAACUGGGUCCGUUACAUUUUUUUGCCUUUUUUUUUUUUUUAAGAGUCAACGUGAAUGAAGAAUGUUUAUCACUGUAAAAUUCAGGCGCUCUGGACAGUAUUAUAUGUACAUAUUGACCCUGAUUCAAGUUAGCAACUGAAAGAUCGGCGACUUUCCCCUCUUGUAAAGAAGUUGAAGAAUGUGGCCAGUUGUAUAUAAAUCCCAUUGAAGCCCAAAUCCUGGUGAGAGGGCCUUACACACUGGCCUUGGAUCUCUGGCACAACCUUUGCAGUUUGGUGUUAGAGAAGAUACUCACCUUGGGAGCUGGAGGCUGCUAUGAGGUCAUAGGUUUCACACAUAAUGUCUUCAAAGUCAAAUCUUACAUGGUCUUCAAAAGGAGAGGGGUCUUGCACAUGGCCCUAGUUUCCAGACUUCUGUUUUAAUGUCGGGUACCAAAGGUAGAAAGGAAAAAGAGAGACAGAAAAAGAACCCAAAAGAAAAAGUAUGUCUUUGGGACCCGAAGAAAUCACCCAGGUUCAGAGCGGACUGCUAAUACUAAUGCGUGUUUUGAUCGAGGAAAAAAAAAGCGCGGAGGGGGGAGGGGCGAUGUGAGAAAUCGCAGAAGGACCAGAGCUUUGCAAGCCACAGACUUUGCCACUUUGCUCUGCCUAAGUUCUCUGGUCUUGAAUCCAUGGCAUUUCCCAUAACCACUGCGACAUUGUUGGGGUUUUGAGUUGUUUUCUUCUGCUUUGGUUCUUCUCCGAGGGUGAGGCCCUUGGAGGGUAAUUGGAUAUAUACGUGCUGGUAACAUAGUCGGGCCCAAUCACUUGGGGUUCUGUGGCUCAUAGGUGCAUUCUUUUUUCUUCAGUGUCUCACCAAUUAUCCAACUGUUGAAUAAAAUUAUAAAUAUGUUAAUACCAGCUUUUUCCAAUAAAAUAACAAAUGUUACAUCUAA
rnacentral:lncRNA from 1 species